rnacentral:rRNA from 1 species
GAUGAACGCUGGCGGCUUGCCUAAUACAUGCAAGUCGAGCGAACAGAUGAGGAGCUUGCUCCUCUGACGUUAGCGGCGGACGGGUGAGUAACACGUGGAUAACCUACCUAUCAGACUUGGAUAACUUCGGGAAACCGGAGCUAAUACCGGAUAAUAUAUUGAACCGCAUGGUUCAAUAGUGAAAGACGGUUUUGCUGUCACUUAUAGAUGGAUCCGCGCCGCAUUAGCUAGUUGGUAAGGUAACGGCUUACCAAGGCAACGAUGCGUAGCCGACCUGAGAGGGUGAUCGGACACACUGGAACUGAGACACGGUACAGACUCCUACGGGAGGCAGCAGUAGGGAAUCUUCCGCAAUGGGAGAAAGCCUGACGGAGCAACGCCGCGUGAGUGAUGAAGGUCUUCGGAUCGUAAAACUCUGUUAUUAGGGAAGAACAAAUGUGUAAGUAACUAUGCACGUAUUGACGGUACCUAAUCAGAAAGCCACGGCUAACUACGUG